rnacentral:rRNA from 1 species
AGCCACCCCAGACAUUGAUUGGCCAUAGGCCGAGUCAGAGACUGAUCGGUCACAUGACUGAAGACCGUCCACUCUACGGGAGGCUGCAGUAAGGAUCUCACAAAUGGGCGAAGCCUGAUUGAGCACGCCGCGUGUGUGAUGAAGGCUUUAGGGUCGUAAAGCACUGUGUAUGGGAAAGAAAUGCUAGAAUAGGGAAUGAUUCUAGUUCGACGGUACCAUACCAGAAAGGGACGGCUAAAUACGUGCCAGCAGCCGCGGUAAUACGUAUGUCCCGAGCGUUAUCCGGAUUUAUUGGGCGUAAAGCGAGCGCAGACGGUUGAUUAAGUCUGAUGUGAAAGCCCGGAGCUCAACUCCGGAAUGGCAUUGGAAACUGGUUAACUUGAGUGUUGUAGAGGUAAGUGGAACUCCAUGUGUAGCGGUGGAAUGCGUAGAUAUAUGGAAGAACACCAGUGGCGAAGGCGGCUUACUGGACAACAACUGACGUUGAGGCUCGAAAGUGUGGGUAGCAAACAGGAUUAGAUACCCUGGUAGUCCACACCGUAAACGAUGAAUACUAGGUGUUAGGAGGUUUCCGCCUCUUAGUGCCGAAGCUAACGCAUUAAGUAUUCCGCCUGGGGAGUACGACCGCAAGGUUGAAACUCAAAGGAAUUGACGGGGACCCGCACAAGCGGUGGAGCAUGUGGUUUAAUUCGAAGCAACGCGAAGAACCUUACCAGGUCUUGACAUCCUUUGAAGCUUUUAGAGAUAGAAGUGUUCUCUUCGGAGACAAAGUGACAGGUGGUGCAUGGUCGUCGUCAGCUCGUGUCGUGAGAUGUUGGGUUAAGUCCCGCAACGAGCGCAACCCUUAUUGUUAGUUGCCAGCAUUCAGUUGGGCACUCUAGCGAGACUGCCGGUGACAAACCGGAGGAAGGCGGGGACGACGUCAGAUCAUCAUGCCCCUUAUGACCUGGGCUACACACGUGCUACAAUGGCGUAUACAACGAGUUGCCAACCCGCGAGGGUGAGCUAAUCUCUUAAAGUACGUCUCAGUUCGGACUGCAGUCUGCAACUCGACUGCACGAAGUCGGAAUCGCUAGUAAUCGCGGAUCAGCACGCCGCGGUGAAUACGUUCCCGGGUCUUGUACACACCGCCCGUCACACCAUGGGAGUUUGUAAUGCCCAAAGCCGGUGGCCUAACCUUCGGGAGGAGCCGUCUAAGGCAGAAAAAGUGUGG